UACGUAGGGUGCAAGCGUUAUCCGGAAUUAUUGGGCGUAAAGAGCUCGUAGGCGGUUUAGAAAGUCAGGUGUGAAAACUCUGGCUCAACCCAGAGACGCCACUUGAUACUUCUAUGACUUGAGUUCGGUAGGGGACCAUGGAAUUCCUGGUGUAGCGGUGAAAUGCGCAGAUAUCAGGAGGAACACCGAUGGCGAAGGCAGUGGUCUGGGCCGAUACUGACGCUGAGGAGCGAAAGCGUGGGGAGCGAACAGG
rnacentral:rRNA from 1 species